rnacentral:rRNA from 1 species
ACAUCCAGCGAACUUGGCAGAGAUGCCUUGGUGCCUUCGGGAACGCUGAGACAGGUGCUGCAUGGCUGUCGUCAGCUCGUGUUGUGAAAUGUUGGGUUAAGUCCCGCAACGAGCGCAACCCUUAUCCUUUGUUGCCAGCGAUUCGGUCGGGAACUCAAAGGAGACUGCCGGUGAUAAACCGGAGGAAGGUGGGGAUGACGUCAAGUCAUCAUGGCCCUUACGAGUAGGCUACACACGUGCUACAAUGGCGCAUACAAAGAGAAGCGACCUCGCGAGAGCAAGCGGACCUCAUAAAGUGCGUCGUAGUCCGGAUCGGAGUCUGCAACUCGACUCCGUGAAGUCGGAAUCGCUAGUAAUCGUGGAUCAGAAUGCCACGGUGAAUACGUUCCCGGGCCUUGUACACACCGCCCGUCACACCAUGGGAGUGGGUUGCAAAAGAAGUAGGUAGCUUAACCUUCGGGAGGGCGCUUACCACUUUGUGAUUCAUGACUGGGGUGAAGUCGUAACAAGGUAAGCGUAGCGAG